AAGGUUUUAAGUUAAAAAAACUAGUAACCUUCAAAGUUCCCCAUAAGAGUCCGCAGUCUCUUAAACCUUA
rnacentral:tRNA from 1 species